rnacentral:rRNA from 1 species
UACGGAGGGGGCUAGCGUUGUUCGGAAUUACUGGGCGUAAAGCGCACGUAGGCGGCUUUGUAAGUUAGAGGUGAAAGCCCGGGGCUCAACUCCGGAAUUGCCUUUAAGACUGCAUCGCUCGAAUUGUGGAGAGGUAAGUGGAAUUCCGAGUGUAGAGGUGAAAUUCGUAGAUAUUCGGAAGAACACCAGUGGCGAAGGCGACUCACUGGACACAUAUUGACGCUGAGGUGCGAAAGCGUGGGGAGCAAACAGG